AGUCGAACGAGAAAUCUUUAGCUUGCUAGAGAAAGUAAAGUGGCGCACGGGUGAGUAACGCGUGGGUAAUCUGCCUCCGAAUCGGGGAUAACAUUGCGAAAGCGAUGCUAAUACCGGAUAAAAUCUGGUUGGCUUAGGUGAACCGGAUCAAAGGUGGUCUCUUUAUAAAAGCUACUGUUUGGAGAUGAGCUCGCGUACCAUUAGCUAGUUGGUGAGGUAAAGGCUCACCAAGGCGACGAUGGUUAGCUGGUCUGAGAGGAUGAUCAGCCACACCGGAACUGGAACACGGUCCGGACUCCUACGGGAGGCAGCAGUGAGGAAUUUUGCGCAAUGGGGGAAACCCUGACGCAGCAACGCCGCGUGAGUGAUGAAGGCUUUCGGGUCGUAAAGCUCUGUCAGGUGGGAAGAACCCACCAAGUGUUAAGACCACUUGGUGCUGACGGUACCACCGAAGGAAGCACCGGCUAACUCCGUGCCAGCAGCCGCGGUAAUACCGGGGGGUGCGAGCGUUAUUCGGAAUCAUUGGGCGUAAAGGGCGCGCAGGCGGUUUUGUAAGUCAGAUGUGAAAUCCCGGGGCUUAACCCCGGAAGUGCAUAUGAAACUAUGAGACUUGAGUAUGGGAGAGGGAAGCGGAAUUCCUGGUGUAGCGGUGAAAUGCGUAGAUAUCAGGAGGAACACCGGUGGCGAAGGCGGCUUCCUGGACCAAUACUGACGCUGAUGCGCGAAGGCUUGGGGACGAACAGGAUUAGUACCCUGGUAGUCACGCAGUAACGUUGAUCACUAGGUGUAUCGGGUAUUGACCCCUGCUGUGCCGGAGUUAACGCAUUAAGUGAUCCGCCUGGGGAGUACGAUCGCAAGAUGUUAAACUCAAAGGAAUUUGACGGGGGGCCCGCACAAUCGGUGGAGCAUGUGGUUUAAUUCGACGCAACGCGAAGAACCUUACCUGGACUUGACAUCUCGGGAAUUCCGUUGAAAGACGGGAGUGCCUUUAACCGAGGAAUCCGAUGACAGGUGCUGCAUGGCUGUCGUCAGCUCGUGUCGUGAGAUGUUGGGUUAAGUCCCGCAACGAGCGCAACCCCUAUCUUCAGUUACCAUCAGGUGAUGCUGGGGACUUUGGAGAUACUGCCCCGGUUAACGGGGACCAAGGUGGGGAUGACGUCAAGUCCUCAUGGCCUUUAUGUCCUGGGCUACACACGUGCUACAAUGGUAUGUACAAAGGGAAGCGAUCCCGCGAGGAGGAGCUAAUCCCAAAAAGCAUAUCAAAGUUCGGAUCGGAGUCUGCAACUCGACUCCGUGAAGUUGGAAUCGCUAGUAAUCGCGGAUCAGCACUCCUCCGGUGAAUACGUUCCCGGGCCUUGUACACACCGCCCGUCACACCAUGAGAGUUGGCUGUACCAGAAGUCG
rnacentral:rRNA from 1 species